UACGGAAGGCAGCAGUGGGGAAUAUUGCACAAUGGGCGAAAGCCUGAUGCAGCUAUGCCGCGUGUAUGAAGAAGGCCUUAGGGUUGUAAAGUACUUUCAUCGGGGAGGAAAAACAAAACUAAUAAUUUUAUUUCUUGACGUUACCCGAAAAAGAAGCACCGGCUAACUCCGUGCCAGCAGCCGCGGUAAUACGGAGGGUGCUAGCGUUAAUCAGAAUUACUGGGCGUAAAGAGCACGUAGGUGGUUUUUUUAAGUCAGAUGUGAAAUCCCUGGGCUUAACCUAGGAACUGCAUUUUGAAACUGAAAAUACUAGAAGUAUCGUAGAGGGAGGUAGAAUUCUAGGUGUAGCGGUGAAAUGCGUAGAUAUCUGGAGGAAUACCUGUGGCGAAAGCGGCCUCCUAAACGAAUACUGACACUGAGGUGCGAAAAGCGUGGGGAGCAAAACAGGGAUUAGAUACC
rnacentral:rRNA from 1 species